GAUGAACGCUGACAGAAUGCUUAACACAUGCAAGUCAACUUGAACUUCGGUUUGGGUGGCGGACGGGUGAGUAACGCGUAAAGAACUUGCCUCACAGAUAGGGACAACAUUUGGAAACGAAUGCUAAUACCUGAUAUUAUGAUUUUAGGGCAUCCUAGGAUUAUGAAAGCUAUAUGUGCUGUGAGAGAGCUUUGCGUCCCAUUAGCUAGUUGGAGAGGUAACGGCUCACCAAGGCGAUGAUGGGUAGCCGGCCUGAGAGGGUGAUCGGCCACAAGGGGACUGAGACACGGCCCUUACUCCUACGGGAGGCAGCAGUGGGGAAUAUUGGACAAUGGACCAAGAGUCUGAUCCAGCAAUUCUGUGUGCACGAUGAAGUUUUUCGGAAUGUAAAGUGCUUUCAGUUGGGAAGAAAAAAAUGACGGUACCAACAGAAGAAGUGACGGCUAAAUACGUGCCAGCAGCCGCGGUAAUACGUAUGUCACAAGCGUUAUCCGGAUUUAUUGGGCGUAAAGCGCGUCUAGGUGGUUAUAUAAGUCUGAUGUGAAAAUGCAGGGCUCAACUCUGUAUUGCGUUGGAAACUGUGUAACUAGAGUACUGGAGAGGUAAGCGGGACUACAAGUGUAGAGGUGAAAUUCGUAGAUAUUUGUAGAAAUGCCGAUGGGGAAGCCAGCUUACUGGACAGAUACUGACGCUGAAGCGCGAAAGCGUGGGUAGCAAACAGG
rnacentral:rRNA from 1 species